rnacentral:rRNA from 1 species
GCGAGGUAACGGCUCACCAAGGCAACGACGGGUAGCUGGUCUGAGAGGACGAUCAGCCACACUGGGACUGAGACACGGCCCAGACUCCUACGGGAGGCAGCAGCAGGGAAUAUUGCACAAUGGGCGAAAGCCUGAUGCAGCGACGCCGCGUGAGGGAUGAAGGCCUUCGGGUUGUAAACCUCUUUCAGGAGGGACGAAGCGAAAGUGACGGUACCUCCAGAAGGAGCCCCGGCCAACUACGUGCCAGCAGCCGCGGUAAUACGUAGGGGGCGAGCGUUGUCCGGAUUCAUUGGGUGUAAAGAGCUCGUAGGCGGCUCAGCAAGUCGGCCGUGAAAGCCCGGGGCUCAACCCCGGGACGCCGGUCGAAACUGCUGUGGCUAGGGUCCGGUAGGGGAGAGUGGAAUUCCCGGUGUAGCGGUGAAAUGCGCAGAUAUCGGGAGGAACACCAGUAGCGAAGGCGGCUCUCUGGGCCGGUACCGACGCUGAGGAGCGAAAGCUAGGGGAGCAAACAGGAUUAGAUACCCAGGUAGUCCUAGCCGUAAACGUUGGGCACUAGGUGUGGCGGAUUCAUUGAUGUCUGCCGUGCCGUAGCUAACGCAUUAAGUG